UUGCAACCUAUUAGUGGACCAUGAGAUCAGUUUCAUGAGUCCUGACCGUCAUUUUAUAAAUGAAAUGAGAAUGGAAUGAAAUGAAGUGGAGUGGAGUGGGAUGGAAUGAGAUGGAACUAGCAGGAAAUAAUAGAAUAUUCCAGAAUAGAAACUAUCAAAGUACAUCACAUGUAGUAAAGGAUUAGAAAGCAAAAGCAAUCUGAAGAUUGAAAGUCAGAAGCAAAGUUAGAAUGGUGAUUUUUUUCCCCCAACCCAACUUGGAAGAAUUUGUCUUUGGAGAACCAACCUAAUCAAAUAAAGUAGCAUCAAUUUACUGGAGACAUAAUCCAACUUGCAUAAUUGUCCUGGCUGGUUUACACCACAGCUGUUCAUAUGACAUGGUUCAUUAAAUAAUAAAGUCUUCAUCAGGCUCUCCUGC
ensembl:lncRNA novel transcript, antisense to KCNMA1